GACGAACGCUGGCGGCGUGCUUAACACAUGCAAGUCGAACGUGAUUUUUGUGGAAAGCCCUUCGGGGACGGAAAUGAAAUGAAAGUGGCGAACGGGUGAGUAACACGUGAGCAACCUACCUUACACAGGGGGAUAGCCGUUGGAAACGACGAUUAAUACCGCAUGAGACCACAAAGCCACAUGGCUUAGGGGUAAAAGAUUUAUCGGUGUAAGAUGGGCUCGCGUCUGAUUAGCUAGUUGGAAGGGUAAAGGCCUACCAAGGCAACGAUCGGUAGCCGGUCUGAGAGGAUGAACGGCCACAUUGGAACUGAGACACGGUCCAAACUCCUACGGGAGGCAGCAGUGGGGAAUAUUGCACAAUGGGGGGAACCCUGAUGCAGCGACGCCGCGUGAGCGAAGAAGGUUUUCGAAUCGUAAAGCUCUGUCCUAUGAGAAGAUAAUGACGGUAUCAUAGGAGGAAGCCCCGGCUAAAUACGUGCCAGCAGCCGCGGUAAUACGUAUGGGGCGAGCGUUGUCCGGAAUUAUUGGGCGUAAAGGGUACGUAGGCGGCCUUUUAAGUCAGGUGUGAAAGCGUGAGGCUUAACCUCAUUAAGCACUUGAAACUGGAAGGCUUGAGUGAAGGAGAGGAAAGUGGAAUUCCUAGUGUAGCGGUGAAAUGCGUAGAUAUUAGGAGGAAUACCGGUGGCGAAGGCGACUUUCUGGACUUUUACUGACGCUCAGGUACGAAAGCGUGGGGAGCAAACAGG
rnacentral:rRNA from 1 species